ensembl:lncRNA
UCCAAGCUCUGACGUUUCACCCUCAGCUGACAGUAAGCACUCAGCUGAGUGCUCAUCCACAAGUAAAUUCGUCAGGCACUCGGCAUCAGUAGUUUCUGAUGAAUCAAUCUUCUACAUAAGCAGCAGUGCUGAGAUUACAAAGAACGCACAAGAGUCAACCAGCAACACUAUGCAAACAGAGGAUGUUGACAUAAUUAAGGACAAAUGUUGCAUUAAGAAUGGCACAGUACGCCUGAAAAAACUGGCUUUGUCUCAACUGAAUUAUGAACAACUUAAAGAGUUCACACAACAGAAUGAGUCUCAUUGGACUUUUAAUGAGGGAUCUGCUGAUCCUAAUGCAGAGAUUGAAAAUGACCACACAUAUUACAUCAACACACCAAAACAUCUCGUGAAUGUAGGUGCAAUACAGUCUAAUGACCUAGAAACAAAAAAGGUUCCAAUGUCCACAAGAGCUCUAAAGGUGAAUUGUCUGAGUAACAAACUUGCUGUUACUAAUCAAUGUGUGCAGGUGCUUGGACCAGCUAUCUCGUUCUCAACCCCAGUGAGGGCGAGUGCACUCAACCUCUCCUCAGUUUUGGCCGACAUGACGCCAAGUUCAAACACCUGGAGCAGACUUAAAGCCGCCCUCUCUAUUCACCGCAAAGGCAUGGUGCUAUUAACGCCAAGGACUGUGGCAGCGUCCGGCUCUCCUGGAAGGGAAGCUCUAGCAGAUCUCAGCAGGGAUCUCUUCGCCCCGCCCUUCCGGACCCCGCUCCCCAAACACCUGCAGUCACAGCUGCAUAGAAACGAUUCUCUGGUAAAACACAGUAGUAUUUGCAGCUUUGCCUUGCAGUACUUUAUGUGUAUACAUAAAUGCCCUUUUUUAUUUUAGCGGCCAUGGGUGUUCUUUUGGCCUUUAUUAAGGUACAUCUUAAAUCCCAAUGAAAUGCAUGGAUGUCGUUCUUGUCUUUCUUGACAGACUGUGUGUGAGGACCUUUCGGAUGCAGAGAAAGUGUAUGCAGAGUGUGGUCAGCCACGUGCCCUUCCCUGGGAGGAGUGUAUUCUCCCUCAAAUGAAAUUUUCACAUGAAAAAGUGUGUAAAGAUAGGAGAAGGGACCUUUGGUGAAGUCUUCUCCACAACCAAUGCCUCAGGAGACACUGUUGCUCUCAAAGUAUGUGGGUUUUUUUCCACAUAAGAAUGUUGUGGAGUAGCGCUGACAUACUUUUGGUAACGGCUGGUAUUAACAGCGAUUCUUGUCGUGCCAGAUCAUUCCAGUAGAGGGCAGUGAGAAGGUGAAUGGAGAGGAUCAGAAGACAUUUGGAGAGAUCCUGCAUGAUGUAUGAUCUCAUACUUUGAGAUUAUUAUCUCAAAGUAAUUACAGAAACUGCACGCCACACUUGAAGGGAUACUAUAAAAGCCUGUCACUAACAUUCGCCCCUUGAAAAGAUUUCCACAGCAAAAACGUUAUUCCUAAUAAUUACAUUCAUGUGAUACGUGCUCAGACUUAGCUAAACAGAGCGCUGUUUUCCUAACAGGGAACUGAGCAGCCUGAAGGAGAAGCAACACAACCAGACUCACAGCUUCAUUGGACUCAAUGAGUAAGCUUUUCAGGUCAUAAGAACACUAGUUUUAACCACGGCUUAUGCAACUGUACACUUAGGAUGCAUUGAGCUGUUUGACAGUAUUUUGGCAUCAGAACAUGACCAUUGGAGGCUGUUCUGAAGGAAACCAAUGCAGAAACACUAAAACAUCAUUUUAGAGCUUUCCAGUUCAUAAGAACACUAGUUUAAACCACGGCAUAUGCAACUAUACAUUUAGGAUGCAUUGAGCUGUUUGACAGUAUUCUGGCAUCAGAGCAUGACCAUUAGAGGCUGUUCUGGUGGAAACCAUU